rnacentral:rRNA from 1 species
GACGAACGCUGGCGGCGUGCCUAAUACAUGCCAGUAGGACGCAGUUGCGAACGGGUGAGUAACGCGUAGGUAACUACCUAUUCGAGGUGGAUAACUAUUUGAAACGAUAGCUACUACCGCAUACUAUUAGAUUGACCUGCGUUGUAUUAGAUAGUAGGUAGGGUAAUGGCCUACCUAGGCAACGAUACAUAGCCGACCUGAGAGGGUGAUCGGCAAACAUGGGAAGGAGACACGGCCAAGAGUCCUACGGGAGGAAGCAGUAGGGAAUCUUCGGCAAUGGGGGGAACCCUGACCGAGCAACGCCGCGGGAGUGAAGAAGGUUUUCGGAUCGUAAAGCUCUGUUGUUAAGGAAGCGGUACUUAACCAGAAAGGGACGGCUAACUACGUGCCAGCCGCCGCGGUAAUUC